rnacentral:rRNA from 1 species
GCCUAAAGCGUCCGUAGCCGGCUCUGUAAGUUUUCGGUUAAAUCCAUAUGCUCAACAUAUGGGCCGCCGGGAAUACUGCAUAGCUAGGGAGUGGGAGAGGUAGACGGUACUCCGUAGGAAGGGGUAAAAUCCUUUGAUCUAUGGAUGACCACCUGUGGCGAAGGCGGUCUACCAGAACACGUUCGACGGUGAGGGAUGAAAGCUGGGGGAGCAAACCGGAUUAGAUACCCGGGUAGUCCCAGCUGUAAACUAUGCAAACUCAGUGAUGCAUUGGCUUGUGGCCAGUGCAGUGCCGCAGAGAAGUCGUUAAGUUUGCCGCCUGGGAAGUACGUACGCAAGUAUGAAACUUAAAGGAAUUGGCGGGGGAGCACCGCAAGGGGUGAAGCCUGCGGUUCAAUUGGAGUCAACGCCAGAAAUCUUACCCGGAGAGACAGCAGGAUGAAGGUCAAGCUGAAGACUUUACCAGACAAGCUGAGAAGUGGUGCAUGGCCGUCGCCAGCUCGUGCCGUGAGGUGUCCUGUUAAGUCAGGUAACGAGCGAGAUCCUUGCCUCUAGUUGCCACCAUUACUCUCAGGAGUAGUGGGGCGAAUUAGCGGGACUGCCGUAGUUAAUACGGAGGAAGGAGAGGGCCACGGCAGGUCAGUAUGCCCCGAA